rnacentral:rRNA from 1 species
AAUGGCAGGUCAGCAUACUGCCGUGAAUACGUUCCCGGGCCUUGUACACACCGCCCGUCACACCAUGAGAGUUGGGGAUACCCGAAGCCUGUGAGCUAACAGUAAUGAAGCAGCAGUCGAAGGUAGAAUCAAUGAUUGGGGUGAAGUCGUAACAAGGUACC